rnacentral:rRNA from 1 species
AUUGAACGCUGGCGGCAGGCUUAACACAUGCAAGUCGAGCGGGGUAAUGGUGCUUGCACUAUCACUUAGCGGCGGACGGGUGAGUAAUGCUUAGGAAUCUGCCUAUUAGUGGGGGACAACAUCUCGAAAGGGAUGCUAAUACCGCAUACGUCCUACGGGAGAAAGCAGGGGAUCACUUGUGACCUUGCGCUAAUAGAUGAGCCUAAGUCGGAUUAGCUAGUUGGUGGGGUAAAGGCCUACCAAGGCGACGAUCUGUAGCGGGUCUGAGAGGAUGAGCCGCCACACUGGGACUGAGACACGGCCCAGACUCCUACGGGAGGCAGCAGUGGGGAAUAUUGGACAAUGGGGGGAACCCUGAUCCAGCCAUGCCGCGUGUGUGAAGAAGGCCUUAUGGUUGUAAAGCACUUUAAGCGAGGAGGAGGCUCUUUUGGCUAAUACCCAAGAUGAGUGGACGUUACUCGCAGAAUAAGCACCGGCUAACUCUGUGCCAGCCGCCGCCGUAA